rnacentral:rRNA from 1 species
AUUGAACGCUGGCGGCAUGCUUUACACAUGCAAGUCGAACGGCAGCGCGGGCUUUGGCCUGGCGGCGAGUGGCGAACGGGUGAGUAAUACAUCGGAACGUGCCCAGUAGUGGGGGAUAGCUCGGCGAAAGCCGGAUUAAUACCGCAUACGACCUGAGGGUGAAAGCGGGGGAUCUUCGGACCUCGCGCUCUUGGAGCGGCCGAUGGCAGAUUAGCUAGUUGGUGGGGUAAAGGCCUACCAAGGCGACGAUCUGUAGCUGGUCUGAGAGGACGACCAGCCACACUGGGACUGAGACGCGGCCCAGACUCCUACGGGAGGCAGCAGUGGGGAAUUUUGGACAAUGGGCGAAAGCCUGAUCCAGCAAUGCCGCGUGUGUGAUGAAGGCCUUCGGGUUGUAAAGCACUUUUGGCGGGAACGAAAAGGACUGUGCCAAUACCACGGUUCGAUGACGGUACCCGCAGAAUAAGCACCGGCUAACUACGUG